CCAGAGUGAUCUCUCACAUAAAAUCAGACCUGCUCAGCCUCUGAGACACUGACAGGCCUGCCUCAGUGUCUCUGUAUUGCCAAAUAUGCAUCCUUCCAUUGUCCAGAUGUACUGACUAUCUGUUUUCCACCAUGUGGGGAACUUGGGGUUCAACUGAUAAGGCUCUGUGCACAUGAUGAGCAUGCACCGACUGAGGAGACCCUAACUGAGGGGGGACAUAGUCACCAGGGCCGGGAGGGAUGGCUGAGGCUCCCUGGAAGGUGACUCUGUAUCUGUAAAGGCAGAGGGCAGAUGCCUAGAGGACCAGGUCCAAUGGGCAGGAAGAUCCACGUUGCUGCCCAUGGCCUGGCUGAGGUGGGUAUGGGCUGGGAAACCUUCAUGCAGGAAGCCAUGGGCUCAUCACCCACAUAGAAUAUUACAAGAACCCUUUCUCCCUUCCAGGCAGCAAGCUCUGAAGACAGGGAGACGGGCAACUCCUUACACACUUCCAAUGUGAAGACACCCCAUGAGUCUAGAUCAGGAGCAGCACAGGCCAUGUGACAAGUCCUCAGGUGGGACCAGGAAUCUCCUCUGCCAUCUUGGCUCUGCCUUUUGCUAACCAGGUUGGCCUCGAUCUUUCUGCACACCAAGGAUCAGAUCCCCUCCCCCACCAUGGACCAGCGGGACUGGAGAUGGACUUAAGAUGAACCUGGCUGGGUAAGUGAGAAACAGCUGAAGAACUCUUAAGCAUACCGACGCCCUCACAGGUGAGAUAAAAGUGCAGCACACCUGCCCAUCACCCACAGUCCACAAGAGAUACCACCUUCCCUCCAGUUCCCUCCACCCAAGGACCCAAGGAUGGCAGAAGAAAAAAAAAAUGAUCGCAACCUCCCAGGUCUAGCACUGGAGUUUCCCUUCUAUCCCAGGGAGACCCCGGCGAGAACUGGGGAGUCACUUCACCCACAACAAACAGUUAAAAGGAAGAAAGCGGGUCUGGCGAUAUCAAUGCACUUUGAUAACAAUAAACCCUGCUUUUAAUUUAUGCUAAUGUGUAGGGCUGUGGUGACAGUAAGAACUAAAUUACAGAGUGGCUUUCGAGCCGGUAAUUAUCCCUCCAUUUUUCACCGCUCUGGAAGAUGGACACACAAUUAUGCUCUCUUGCUGUAUAUUAAUACAGAUUCUUGACAUCUUCAGCAGACCCGGAG
rnacentral:lncRNA from 1 species